AUAUUACAUCUUUUUAAGUAAUGAAAGAGAGGGAAGCGUGCUGGAGAAGCACGCACCUGGAAGUCGGGUGGCAACUGUGUUUCUGAGCUUGUUUUAAGGAUGAUAAUGAUGCUUUCGUCAAAAAAAAAAAAAAAAAAAAAAAAAAGGAUGAUAAUGAUGCUACCACGUGCGUUGGCCUAUUAAGUUUAAUUUAAUAAGGAAAAUUUGCAAAUUACUACCGCAAAUUAAUACCACCUUGUAAAUUACUGCCGCAAAUUAAAAAACUUGUAAAUUACUACCGCAAAAAAUUUUAAGAUGUUGGAAUUACGACCAAACCCCCCUUAAACCCAAUUAUGACACCAUCAUACCCCUUUAACCCAUGUUUGACCAUGGAUAAGGGCUUUAACCACCAAAAAAAAAAAAAAAAAAUUAAAAAUCUUUUUACCCCCUCCUAACCCCAGUUAACCCAAACAACCCCAUUCUCCCUUUUUAAAUCGAUUUAUUCCCAAUCUCCAUUGUUGUGCAGGCUCUGCUCCAAAAUUCAAUUCACUACUGCUGCUGUUUACAUCAAUCGUGGAUUAUGGCUUUGAUUAUAGGUUGGAAAUGCAAGUGUGGGUUGUCUGCAUCAAUUAUGAAGUGAUGGACGAAUGAAAACCCAGGAAGAAGGUUCAUUGCUUGUCCGGAUUUUGAUGCUGAGAAAAAUACGAGGGGGUGUACUUACUUUGUUUGGUAUGAUGAAGAUAUGACAAUGUGGCAAAGAGACAUAAUAUUGGGGUUGAUAGAAGAAAAGAAAAGAGUGAGCUUGGAGAAUGAGAUGCUUAGGAAGCAAAUUGCUGAUGUGAAUUGCAAUCUAAGGAAGAUGAACACUCAAUAUGUGAUGUCGAAGAUGAGAAGCAAUGGUUUAGAUUUAGGAGCUGUUUUAUGCAUAUGUUUUUUCAUUGCUGUAAUUGGUGUUGCAUGGUUUUUUCAUUAGUUGCUGUCAUGCUAUGUUCAGUAUGGCAUGAAUGAAAUGUAUGGUAGGUAUUAUCCCUUGGAAUCAAAUGUAACCAAUUUGGUAAUGAAUGAAUGCAAAGAAAAUUUAUUUAA